rnacentral:rRNA from 1 species
UGCCAGCAGCCGCGGUAAUACGGAGGGUGCAAGCGUUAAUCGGAAUUACUGGGCGUAAAGCGCGCGUAGGUGGCCAAGUCAGUCAGAUGUGAGAGCCCUGGGCUCAACCUGGGAACUGCAUCUGAUACUGCUCGGCUAGAGUAUGGUAGAGGGGUGUGGAAUUUCCUGUGUAGCGGUGAAAUGUGUUGAUAUUGGAAGGAACGCCGGUGGCGAAAGCGACACACUGGGGCUGUUCUGACGCUGAGGCACGAAAGCUAGGGGAGCGAACGGGAUUAGAUA